CGAGGAACAACCAUGCGCCAACCGAGGGCCAAAGCGGCCAAUUGAUAUGUUUUGAGGCCGGUCGCCCCUUGGCCGACCACGGGGUUCAUCCACAACAUCAGCAUCGCGUGGGAUCCGCCCGUGUGCCAGACCUCGCCCCGUCAACCCAACGGGCAUUUGGACCGUAGUCUGAAGGCCGAGCCGACCUCAAGAGGCCGAGCCCACCUCGGGAGGCCAAGACGACCUCAGGCCGAGCCGACUUCAGCUCGAGGCCGAGCCAACCUCCGGGACGCACGCCGAUUGCCCCGAAAGACCGAGUCAACCAUCCAAAUUUGGGAGAUAAAGUUUGGAGAUCUUCUAGGACUCCUCCAAGCCCUUGAUCACAUGCAAAUCAAGGGUGGAGAAGCAUUGCACAUUGCCACAUCAGCAAGGAUCCGUGGGAAGACGGUUUUCUAUGUUUAUCUUAAGGAGAGUUACUUAAAGUUGUCUAGGGUCUUGGGUCUAUAAAAGAGGUUGAAAGGGGCCAUUGUGAGGCAUCCGAGAAUAAUACCAGAGUUGAGUUUAGUCUUGUUCUCUUGUUAGAGAGUCGGCCGUAGGGCUUGGGCAGCAUUGUGCCGAUUUCGGUCCUUAGAUUUUAUGUUCUAGGACUUGGGCUAGUGGUUGAUACAUCAAUCUUCACUAGAUUGGGCUAGGAAGGGAUCCUUUCGAUCCUUUGCUAGAUUUGGGCUAGUAGAGAUCCUUGACUACUCUACUAGAUUGUUUUGCUUUUGAUUGUUCUUGUUUGUUUGUUCUUCAAUUGGAGUGGAAUAAAAUUCGGUUUACUUUCAUCGUUGAUCUUUGCACUGAGUUAUUCCACCGGCGUUAUCUACAAUCGGUCCACCGUCAGCGAUUUUUGGAGGCGCACACAAGGAGUGCGAGGUAAGGGGCUUUGGACCAUGAGCCCCCAUCAAAGCCGUGCUUGGACCGAUGCGAACUAGCCCAGUUCGCACCGGUACCGGCUUGUACCAGUGCGUACUGAGCUAGUAUGCACCUGUUCAAGUACGGAACCAAUCGGUUCUGACCCAGUUUGGGUCGAAAUCGAUUUUAUAUGCUGUACUGUACUAGUGCUUGUCGGUACCGGUUCGGUACGGGCUGAACCGACCAGUUCUGGUCUGUUCAGCACACCUUGAUUGCACAUGUUUGAAGGAGAAUGAUCAUACAUAGGCUCGACAUUGUUUAACGUUAUCAAAUAUAUAAUUGCAAGGUCCAUAUUUUUCCUACUUAUCUUUUUCUUUUGAAUUUUUUAAUAUCUAAUUUGAUAUAUAUAUAGGCUAUGCAAAUUGCAUUCAAAAGCAUGAGUAGAUUUAUGCUCGCCAAACUGAUGUAAACAACACUAUACAUGUAAUUGAAUAGGAUAUUAUAUCUUAGACUUUUGUAUACAAUUGAGAUAGAAUGACUAAUUAACAUGGAGGAUUUGAAGUAUAUUGAUAUUUCCAUAAUCAUAAUCACCCAUCCUUUUCUCAAUUAUUUAUUGAUAUAAAUCAGUACAUACCCUUCAAAUUUUCAUGUUAAUGACAACCAAGGUGAUAGAUCCAUUACUGAAGACAAGGUUAAUUUUGUAUUUGCAUAAUAUGUGAGCAAUGUUGACCAAUGCUUGUAUGAACAUACCAUUCUUUUAGUCUCUUAGGAAAUAUAAGUACUGUUGCUCAUCUAUGUUGGUAUUUGUUGACUCAACUAGUGCAAACUUCUUAGAUUGCUAUAUUUCAUAUGCUGAAUUGCCAUAAUUCUCAUCAAUGUAUAAGUUACAUUGCUUGUCGGUCCUAUGAGGCAUGCAUUUGGUUGUGCACUACAAAAGUGAGUGGAGCAAGAAGACAAGUUUUCUGAGUCAAAUGGGAACUAACAACCUCUUUCAUGAGAACGAUGACACCCGAACUCCACUAUUUGGUCCCUGUACAGAUCAACAAGAGGCCUUCUUUGUAACCUAUUCCCGAGGAUGUGCUAUGGAUACAUGAUGCCUUUCAUUGCUGCUCCAUUAGAAAUUUCAUUAUUUAUGAUCCUCUUUUGGUAUGGCUAAGCAAGCAGCCUUAACCAUGCCAUUAACAAAUGGUGACAUCUUGAGGGUACAUGGUCAAAGUGACAGCUUUGUGUACCAAUCCUAAUGUCAUGCUAUUGUAUUGUCACCUUGCCUACCUCCAAUUUCCUCAUCUUCAUUAUCAUCAUUCUCACAUUCAUCAUUGUCAUAAUUAUAUUUAAUGAAGUCAUCUUGCUGCUUGUCCUCUAUGUUGCAUGUUUGAUAGUGUCAAGAGGUUCCUCUACGCGGUUAGAAAACUAACACUGAAUUUCUUACCAUGCCAUGCAUUUUCCUUCAACAUAGGGUUAGUUUGAUGAUUUUGGAUACAUAAAUCAACAUCUUAUCUUAUUUUUCCUCUUACUAUAAGUAACGUCACUACUUUUCACCCGAGUUCAACAUAUUGCCCUAUGGUCGUAUAUUGUGCUCCUUUGCACAUGACCUACAUGUCUACCCAACUCUUGUGAUGAUUGUUUUAAGCCACCUACUUCAAGUUACUUGAUGGUUGUGACCAUGGACUGUCGUAUUGCUCCGUACUGGCCGGUAUGGGGCAUACCAUACCAUACUGAGUGGGAACCGACACAAAACUCUAGUUCGGAUCGGUACAUGCCCCAUACCGCCUCUUACUGAGGCGUAUCAGGUUUGUACCAACUUGUAUCGAGGCAUAUUGACUCAUAACGAGGCGUACCGAGGUAAAAAGGAGAAAAAUGCUUGGAGCCUUGUUUGAAUAUGGGAUGCAUAUUAUAUUGUACUGUACCGAAUUGGUACAGUAUUUGUACGGUACUCGAUACCAAGAUUGCAGACCUUCGUUGUGACACUUGCAUUCACUUAAGCAUCAUAUCACUUUGUUAUUCAUAAUGUCUAGAUCAACAAUGUUAUAAUAUCAUCUUCUCAUAUCCUUUCAUUGUGUUGCAUUCCACGUUGUCUUAGCCUCAUGUUCUUCAUGUAUGCACACAAGAUCCUAUGGACUCCUGUCUUAUAGGUAUUUUGCAAUAUUUGUAUGGAUAAGGAAUAAUGCACUCUCUUCUCUCUGAUCUGCUAAAUGAGGAUUUGCUGAUAGAUAAUUCUUGAAUGAUUAAUAAUUUGAGGUAAAUUUGAUCUGAGUCAUAAUUGUUGAAUGAUUGCAAACCUUGGUUGUGACACUUNNNNNNNNNNNNNNNNNNNNAUUAAUAAUUUGAGGUAAAUUUGAUCUGAGUCAUAAUUGUUGAAUGAUUGCAAACCUUGGUUGUGACACUUGCAUUCACUUAAGCAUCAUAUCACUUCAUUAUUCAUAAUGUCUAGAUCAACAGGGUUAUAAUAUCAUCUCAUAUCCUUUCAUUGUGUUGCAUUCCACGUUGUCCUAGCCUCAUGUUCUUCAUGUAUGCACACAAGAUCCUAUGGACUCCUAUCUUAUAGGUAUUUUGCGAUAUUUGUAUGGAUAAGGAAUAAUGCACUCUCUUCUCUCUGAUCUGCUAAAUGAGGGUUUGCUGAUAGAUAAUUGUUGAAUGAUAUCUAAUUUAUGGUAAAUUUGACCUGAGUCAUAAUUUGAUGUAAUAAAGUCUGGAGUGAAGACAACUUUAUGAAAAUAAUGUCUGAAACUUACCUAAAAGAAAUAACACGGCUUUUGUUGAUGUGGAUGUGUUGUAUAAUUUUUUUAAACAAUGCCAACUCAUGUAUUUUGUGUAACUAGAGUUUGUCAUGUGUGGUGAACAUCAUUUGAAGACAUUUGACCUUUGAACAGAGCCUGAUGCACCUCUCGAGACUUUGCUUUUAGGAGCUAGGUCAGGCCUUUCACAUGAACAAUGAUCGGCGCCUUUUGCUCAUGCACGACCGCCCAAUUACUCCCUGGACAUGCUUUGAGAUGUCUGAUCGUGUUGGAUGAUGCGUGAUCAUGUAUGGUCAAGUGCGCACAAAAGACCUCGGUGAUCUUACAUGCAAAAGAGCUAACCCGAUCCCUUACUUUUAAUUCUAGUUGAAUAGAUAGGGCAUCUCUACAUAGGGGUUUGAUGGGGUUGAUGCAAAAACAUGCCCUAAUCUCAAAGCAUGAUCGACUGGUCAUGCACGUACACAAGACCCUGAUGAUCUUUCGUGCAAAAGAGCUAACCUGAUCCCUUGCUUAAAAUGCUAGUAAAAUAGAUAGUGCAUGUCUGUGUGGGGGGUUGAUGGGGUUGAUUCAGAAACAUGCCCUAUACUGUGCAAUAUGCACUCCCUUGAAGAUGCAUGAUGAGUACCAUACCACAAUGUGGUACUGCAAAUUGAAUAUAUCAUGGAUGAAUCUUGUCGUACUGUUUAGGUCAAGCCAAGUAUCUAGCAUGUAUGUGUAUUUACUUAUAAUUAUGAUUGAAUAAUUCUUUCCUUUGGGCUGAAUUGGGAAUAUUCUAUAAGUAACUCUUACAUUGACAAAUUUUAUAUUUUUGCAUGUUUUGAUUCAGAUUACACAAUGUUUUCACUAUCUUAGGUGUAAUUUUUUUUUGUAGAUUUAGUAGGUUGCUUAUCAUGGUUUUCGUUGCAUCAAAUUCACGCCGGGAUUCAAACUUGCUCUCAUGAAAACAAGUAGACUGUUAACCUAUUAAAGUUUCCUUCUUUAAUGUUAUACCAAAACAUAUUUAUGUUCAUAUGCUGAAAUUGAGGCAAAAAGCUCCUUUAUUUCCAUACUAAUUCAAAUUUCUGAUGCUUGAAUGGAGGCAAUGCUAUUGGACCCUUUUGAUUCCAUCAUAUAUUCCAACAGAAGUUUCUGUUGGCUUCGCUUGGAAGUGGGAGACAGGGCAUUGCACGAUGCUAUUAUUUUUAAAAUGCUGAAACCUGAGUGAGCAAAGG
rnacentral:lncRNA from 1 species